rnacentral:lncRNA from 1 species
GCUUGCGUCGUUGGUCUCGGAUGUUGCUCACGAUAAUGGCUCUUCGCCCAUUUGGUUGCCUUGACCCGACCCAAAGCUCUUCGUGCUGAGAACAACCGGAACUAGGGUUGCCUCUACCUCUCCACAGUUACGUGGUAGGAUACGCAACUCUCUGCGCCGAUCCUCACGAACGAUGAGCUAUGCCCGCUCAAAAGCGACAACCGGCCUGGCUGUUGCCUCUCCGUAUGUAUGCAAGUGGAACCGGAGGACGACAACCAAUGCU